UACAGAGGUCCCAAGCGUUGUUCGGAUUCACUGGGCGUAAAGGGUGCGUAGGCGGUCGGGUAAGUCUGGCGUGAAAUCUCCAAGCCUAACUUGGAAACUGCGUUGGAUACUGGCAGGCUGGAGUACGGUAGAGGAAGGUGGAAUUCCCGGUGUAGCAGUGAAAUGCGUAGAUAUCGGGAGGAACACCAGUGGCGAAGGCGGCCUUCUGGACCAGUACUGACGCUCAUGCACGAAAGCGUGGGGAGCAAACAGG
rnacentral:rRNA from 1 species